rnacentral:rRNA from 1 species
AUUGAACGCUGGCGGCAGGCCUAACACAUGCAAGUCGAACGAGUGGCGGACGGGUGAGUAAUGUCUGGGAAACUGCCCGAUGGAGGGGGAUAACUACGGGAAACGGUAGCUAUUACAGAAUACCAUCGGAUGUGCCCAGAUGGGAUUAGCUAGUAGGUGGGGUAAAGGCUAACCUAGGAGACGAUCCCUAGCUGGUCUGAGAGGAUGACCAGCCAUACGGGAACUGAGACACGGUCCAGCCUCCUACGGGAGGCAGCAGUGGGGAAUAUUGCACAAUGGGCGCAAGCCUGAUGCAGCCAUGCCGCGUGUAUGAAGAAGGCCUUCGGGUUGUAAAGUACUUUCAGCGAGGAGGCGUUACUCGCAGAAGAAGCACCGGCUAACUCCGUGCCAGCCGCCGCGGUAAUAC